rnacentral:rRNA from 1 species
GCAUAUCAAUAAGCGGAGGAAAAGAAAAUAACAAUGAUUCCUCUAGUAACUGCGAGUGAAGAGGGAAAAGCUCAAAUUUUAAAUCUGUUAGGUUUACCUAACCGAGUUGUAAUUUGAAGAAGCGUUUUCUGCGAAUUUGGUUAGUCCAAAUCCUUUGGAAUAAGGUAUCAUGGAGGGUGAGAAUCCCGUUCGGUUAACCAAAGCGCUUUACGAUACGCUUUCAAAGAGUCAAGUUGUUUGGGAUUGCAGCUUAAAAUGGGAGGUAAAUUUCUCCUAAGGCUAAAUAUUGGCGAGAGACCGAUAGCGAACAAGUACCGUGAGGGAAAGAUGAAAAGAACUUUGAAAAGAGAGUUAAACAGUACGUGAAAUUGUUGAAAGGGAAACGAUUAAAGUCAGUCGUACCUACGAGUAAUCAACCUACUCGAGUGCGAUUUUGUGGGUAUGUUAGAGCUUAAAAACCUUCAUGCUUACAAAUUGGUGCUCUUUGGGCGUACUUUCUCGUAUGGUAGGUUAACAUCAAUUUCGAUCGUUAUAAAAUGACUGGAGGAAUGUAGCUUCGACUUCGGUUGAAGUGUUAUAGCCUUUGGUAGAUGUAAUGAUUGGGAUUGAGGAUUGCAACGGAUACCCUCUGGGCUAUUCGUCUGAUCUCUGGAAGUUACCUUGGUGUCGAAAGCGUGCUUACGAUAUUAAAGGUUGACGGCCAAUAGGUUAGAACGUGAUUAAAUUCGUUAAGGAUGUUGACGUAAUGGCUUUAAACGAC